rnacentral:rRNA from 1 species
UACGUAGGGACCAAGCGUUGUUCGGAUUUACUGGGCGUAAAGGGCGCGUAGGCGGCUUAACAAGUCACUUGUGAAAUCUCCGGGCUUAACUCGGAACGGCCAAGUGAAACUGUCAAGCUAGAGUGCAGAAGGGCAAUCGGAAGUUCUUGGUGUAGCGGUGAAAUGACGUAGAUAUCAAGAGGAACACCUGAGGUGAAGACGGUGCUGGCUGACACUGACGCUGAGGCGCGAAAGCUAGGGGAGCAAACGGG